GCUUCAGUGGUGUAGUGGUUAAACACUUCUAAUAUUGCUGUUAUUAGGUUGUGAGUUAAAUUCUCGCUUGGUACA
rnacentral:tRNA from 1 species